rnacentral:tRNA from 1 species
GCCUGGGUGGUUUAGUUGGUUAAGCAUCUGACUCUUGAUUUUGGCUCAGGUCAUGAUCUCACAGUUUUGUGGGUUUGAACCCCUCAUCAGGCU